GAUGAAGAACGCAGCGAAAUGCGAUAAGUAGUGUGAAUUGCAGAAUUCAGUGAAUCAUCGAAUCUUUGAACGCACAUUGCGCCCUUUGGUAUUCCUUAGGGCAUGCCUGUUCGAGCGUCAUUUAAACCUUCAAGCUAAGCUUGGUGUUGGGUGACUGUCCGCUUCACGGCGGACUCGCCUCAAAAUUAUUGGCGGCCGGUACAUUGGCUUCGAGCGCAGCAGAAACGCGAACUCGGGCCCGUCGUAUUGGCUCCCAGAAGCUAUCUUCACAAUUUUGACCUCGGAUCAGGUAGGGAUACCCGCUGAACUUAAGCAUACAAUAAGCGGAGGA
rnacentral:misc_RNA from 1 species